UGAUAAAGAAAGGAGUCAAACCAAUGUAUGCAGUAGU
rnacentral:tRNA from 1 species